CUUCCUCCUGCCAAAGCCUGACUCAUCGGCCGUGCUCCAGCUUGGCUCUCCGAGCGAAAGGCCGGCUCUGCUCAUGGAGCCAACCAGAGCCGGGGCUGGCCCGGAGGAGAGGGAAGCAGGGCAGGAGGCCAAAGGCAGGGACGCCCCAGACGCUCGGGCCGGCGAGCCAGGGAUCUGGCUCCUCAUAAAGGGCCCUUGUGCGUUAGGCCCGGGCCGCCAGGCCCUGUAGGCCUGGGGUCCGGGGGCUCUGGGGCCGCUGGAGCACUGACUCGGCACCCACGCUCCACACGAACUCUGACCCUGUCCCACGAGAGACCAGACAGCUCUGAGGAGACGGACCACCGCCUCCGAAAGCCUCUCUCCUUCCAGAAUCGCUGGAAAAGUCUCUGCUGACAACAUUUGCAGGAUUUCAUGAGGCCCCACCUCCACCACCAAAAGCCCAACACAACACAGCGUGGCAGAAAUGCCAAAGCUGUGCCUUCAAGAAUCAGGGCGAGAACUGGGACCUCACCAGCCAAGUGCCACCUACCAGAGCGUUCUCUUCACGGAACGCCCACGGAUGCGCAUAAACCCCAAUGCAGGCUACUUUUGGGGGACCUCCUUAGAACAACAACGGGGGUUUGCUCAGGAACAGGGCCAGGGGAAACGUAAGCCACCCACAGCCUGAGCGCCUCCUGGACAAAGGGGACAUUUGAAAGGUGUCAAUAAAGUGCUUCUCCAGGCAA